GACGAACGCUGGCGGCAUGCCUAAUACAUGCAAGUCGAACGAGCACUCCGGGUCUAGUGGCGUCCGGCUGCGUCAGCCGACGGAACCUGCACUUGGGUACGGCCUACCUCUACGACAGGGGUGCUAACACCGGAUCGUGUCUUCUGCCGAAUGAUUUAUUGCCUUUGGAUGUGCCCGCGUUGGAUUAGCUAGUUGGUAGGGUAAAAGCCUACCAAGGCGACGAUCCAUAGCUGGUCUGAGAGGAUGAUCAGCCACACUGGGACUGAGACACGGCCCAGACUCCUACGGGAGGCAGGAGUGGGGAAUAGUGGACAAUGGGCGAAAGCCUGAUCCAGCAAUACCGCGUGAGUGAUGAAGGCCUUAGGGUUGUAAAGCUCUUUUACCCGGGAUGAUAAUGACAGUACCGGGAGAAUAAGCUCCGGCUAACUCCGUG
rnacentral:rRNA from 1 species